GGAGAGAUGGCUCAGUGGGUAAGAGCACUGACUACUCUUCCAGAGGACCUGGGUUCAAUUCCCAGCACCC
rnacentral:tRNA from 1 species